rnacentral:rRNA from 1 species
GACAGAGGCCCCGAGCGUUAGGCGGAAUCACUGGGCUUAAAGCGUGUGUAGGCGGGCCCGUAAGUGUCUUGUGAAGUCCCACGGCUCAACCGUGGAACUGCUGGGCAUACUGCGGGUCUUGGGCCAACUAGGGGCAGCCGGAACAAGCGGUGGAGCGGUGAAAUGCGUAGAUAUCGCUUGGAACGCCGAAGGUGAAAACAGGCUGCUGGGGUUGCGCCGACGCUGAGACACGAAAGCCAGGGGAGCAAACGGG